UCCUUUUCCUGGACGCUUCAGGGCUCCGCGGCCUGCGCUAGACUGGAGGGUCCGCGUCACUCUCGCCCUCCUGCUUUCCGCGCUCUCACCCGCUCCCGCCUCCUGAGGGCACGACUUGUGGAGGAGCGCGGGCGGCGGGGCGUGAGCGAGCUGCCUCUGCCGCCAUCUUAGAGAAGGCGAGCGUGGGGUGUGCGUGGGCGCGAGUCGGCCUCCCGCGGUGCCGCCGCAGCGUGGCGCGGAGAGGCAGGGGCAUCCAGUGGUUCAAGGUUACAAUAAGCUGUGAUCGUGCCACUGCAUUCUACCUGGGAUGACAGAGUGGGACCCUGUGCCACAGAGUGAGACCCUGUCUCAAAAAAAAAAAAACUAUGUAAAUCCAAGAAAAAAAGAAAACAGCUCCUGUUGCCUUUUGCCUCUCAUCCAGAAAGGUAUCCAUUUGCCUUUCUAAUAUCUCUUCAUCCUGUCAGGCCACAAAUGAACUUCAAUCUAUCCAGAACUGAGUUUUGUUUAUGGUGUGUGCCAGAGAACACCUGAAAUUGACUUUUGUGAACAGUGUUCACGGGCACUUGUGAAGGUUUGUUAUACAGGUAAAUUGUGUGUAACCAGGGUUUGGUGUGAAGAAUAUUUUGUCACCCAGUUUUAAACAAGAAAAACCUCAGCAUGUAAGCAAAGCAGACUGGACUUGAACAGAUAUGGAAUGCAAAGCACACAGGAGAGUCAUGGGGAUCCUGAAGGGGGAUUAGAAGUUGGACAACUUUUUAUGCAAUGAACAACACUGCAUUGGAGGCAGUGGAUUAAACAGUAGUGCAUAUCACUUGGCUGAAGUGACAGGAAUAAAGAACAGAAUGCAUCCACUCCUCCAGUCUCAUUAAGCUGCCUCUUUCUCCUGAAAUUGGAUUGGGAUUCCAGGACACCUCUCAACCUACAGGAAACACUGGAUCUAAAGCUGAAACAGGCUUUUAAAAAGAUUUGCACAAUACAUCCUUCAUAUUGUUAUUUUUAUCUCUGUAAGUUUGUAAUGGCCUCUAAAAAAGAAAGCUGUGUAACAAGAGCAUCAGAUGUUACUUUGCUCACUGUUGAAGGCGGUGAAGAACAGAAGAAAACUAGGAAGAAAACCAAGCUGGGAAGGGCAAUGAAGGAACAGGUUAGAGUUCAAAAGUAAAAGUACGUUCCACACAAAGGAAAGAUUUCAGGUACGUGAGUCAGCGGCAAUGCAAGGGCAAGAGAUGUGCUUUUAGAGAGAAUUGAACUUGUCAAUGUGACUCAGCUCUGGAAGACCAAAAAAUUAUGGAGGGAGAGGCAGGAGAGGGAAACCAGGUGAAAUGUCACCAUUUUCUUUGUUUAUCUUCUGGUGGAUCUCAAAAUCUUCUGUUAUUCACAUACACACACGAGCAUGCACUCAUGGAAUGCGUCAGUAUAUCUAUUGUCAAAAUCAGCUCACAGUCUCAUUUCAGUAAAACAGAAAUGUGAUCCCUC
rnacentral:lncRNA from 1 species